AGUGAACGCUGGCGGUAGGCCUAACACAUGCAAGUCGAACGGCAGCACAGGAGAGCUUGCUCUCUGGGUGGCGAGUGGCGGACGGGUGAGGAAUACAUCGGAAUCUACUCUGUCGUGGGGGAUAACGUAGGGAAACUUACGCUAAUACCGCAUACGACCUACGGGUGAAAGCAGGGGAUCUUCGGACCUUGCGCGAUUGAAUGAGCCGAUGUCGGAGUAGCUAGGUGGCGGGGUAAAGGCCCACCAAGGCGUCGAUCCGUAGCUGGUCUGAGAGGAUGAUCAGCCACACUGGAACUGAGACACGGUCCAGACUCCUACGGGAGGCAGCAGUGGGGAAUAUUGGACAAUGGGCGCAAGCCUGAUCCAGCCAUACCGCGUGGGUGAAGAAGGCCUUCGGGUUGUAAAGCCCUUUUGUUGGGAAAGAAAUCCAGCUGGCUAAUACCCGGUUGGGAUGACGGUACCCAAAGAAUAAGCACCGGCUAACUUCGUGCCAGCAGCCGCCGUAA
rnacentral:rRNA from 1 species